rnacentral:rRNA from 1 species
UGGGGAAUAUUGGACAAUGGGCGAAAGCCUGAUCCAGCCAUGCCGCGUGUGUGAAGAAGGUCUUCGGAUUGUAAAGCACUUUAAGUUGGGAGGAAGGGUUGUAGAUUAAUACUCUGCAAUUUUGACGUUACCGACAGAAUAAGCACCGGCUAACUCUGUGCCAGCAGCCGCGGUAAUACAGAGGGUGCAAGCGUUAAUCGGAAUUACUGGGCGUAAAGCGCGCGUAGGUGGUUUGGUAAGUUGGAUGUGAAAGCCCCGGGCUCAACCUGGGAACUGCAUCCAAAACUGGCAAGCUAGAGUACGGUAGAGGGUGGUGGAAUUUCCUGUGUAGCGGUGAAAUGCGUAGAUAUAGGAAGGAACACCAGUGGCGAAGGCGACCACCUGGACUGAUACUGACACUGAGGUGCGAAAGCGUGGGGAGCAAACA